GCAUUUAUGGCCAAGAGGUCGAAGGCUCCAGACUCAUAAUCUGGCACACAAACGUCGUUGGUUCGAAUCCAACUAAAUGCA
rnacentral:tRNA from 1 species